ensembl:lncRNA
UACCUGGUGGCGUUUCUCUCCUCAACCUCUCUCGGCUUCCGACCUCUGCAGCACCCAUUGGCCAAUAGGCUGUCUGUCCGCGGAGUAUUGUCCAAUGAAUGGGCGCGCUGGGUCAGAGGCGGUGGCGAGGGCGGAGCGACGGCGCGAGCAGGGCGGAGAGGGAGAAGGAGGGGUGACGCAGCGGCGCGGUGACGCAGCGUGGCGGCGGCGACGACGGCAGCAGCGGCGGCGACGGCGUCGGUCGGUGUGAGGAGAGAGGGAGGGAAGGCGGAGAGAGCGAGGCGAGUGGGGGCGGCGGUGGCGCGGGCCGGAGGCGAUUCACUCAGCCCCUGCUUGAACAUAGCAUGGAAUGAGGAGCGCCUGGCCUGAUGAGACUUCUGAUUGUUACUUUGGUUGAGUGGAAACGUGCUUCCUUUUGAUCUCCAGUCACUGGGCUCUUAUCUGCCCUGUGGAACCAAGAGAAUCAGUUGGCUCCUAUUUGUGUGACAGGUCUUCAGGAGCUCACAGAAACCUCCCUGAUGUGAACAGGCCUCUGCCCCCGCUGCCCCUCCCGGGAUUUUCUAAGCACCCUGACCCACACUCACCCCCCUCUCUGGGGAGAGACAACAGGAUUCUGGAGCCGAGACCAUGUGACAGCAUUGCCCUUCCCCACCAUUCCCCCACCCCCGGCCUCUGCCGGUGCCAAGCCCAGGCCCUGGCCACGGCACCAUGAUGUUCCGAGACCAGGUUGGCAUCCUUGCUGGCUGGUUCAAGGGCUGGAAUGAGUGUGAGCAGACGGUGGCCUUGCUGUCACUGUUGAAGCGAGUCACCCGGACCCAGGCCCGAUUUCUGCAGCUUUGCCUGGAGCACUCCUUGGCAGACUGUAACGAUAUCCACCUUCUGGAGUCAGAGGCCAACAGUGCUGCCAUCAUUAACCAAUGGCAGCAAGAGUCCAAAGAGAAGGUCGUCUCCCUCUUGUUGUCCCAUCUACCCCUGCUCCAGCCUGGCAACACAGAGGCCAAGUCUGAGUAUAUGAAGCUGCUGCAGAAGGUGCUGGCCUACUCUAUAGAGAACAACGCCUUCAUUGAGGAGAGUCGGCAAUUGCUCUCCUAUGCCCUCAUUCACCCGGCCACCACAUUGGAGGACCGAAACUCACUAGCCCUCUGGCUCAGCCACUUAGAGGAACGGCUGGCUGGUGGCUUCCGGACCCGAGCUGAGACUGCCUACCACUCCCGCCAGGGCUCAGAUGAAUGGGGUGGCCCUGGGGAGGCUGGCCCUGGGGAGCUAGGGCCAGGCUGGCAGGACAAGCCACCACGAGAAAAUGGACAUGUGCCCUUUCACCCUUCUGGUGCAGUGCCAUCCACCAUCAACAGUAUUGGGAGCAAUGCUAAUGCAGGCCUCCCCUGCCCAAUGCACCCAAGCCCGCUGAAGCGUUCCAUGUCGCUCAUCCCCACGAGCCCGCAGGGCCCUGGUGAAUGGCUGAACCCAGAGGAAAUGGGGGCAAGAGCAGCCUUUGCCCCACCCGACCACGCGCCCCUCUCGCCCCAGAGCAGUGUGGCUUCCUCAGGCAGUGAGCAGACGGAGGAGCAGGGCUCCAGCCGGAACACUUUCCAGGAGGAUGGCAGUGGCAUGAAAGAUGUGCCAUUAUGGCUUAAGAGUCUUCGCUUACACAAAUACGCAGCCCUCUUCUCCCAGAUGAGCUAUGAGGAGAUGAUGACCCUGACUGAACAGCAUCUGGAAUCUCAGAACGUGACCAAAGGUGCCCGUCACAAGAUCGCCCUGAGCAUCCAGAAGCUUCGUGAGAGGCAGAGUGUCCUCAAGUCCCUGGAGAAGGAUGUGCUGGAAGGUGGGAACCUGAGGAAUGCUUUACAGGAGCUCCAGCAGAUCAUUGUCACACCCAUUAAGGCCUACAGCAUCCUUCAGGCAGCUGUGGUGGCUGCAGCCAAGGAGGGGGGCAGGGGGGAGCCGCCGCUGAGCGCUGAGCCCCCCCCAGCUCGCCCAGGCCCUGAGAAGGCCCCUGAGGCCAAGGAUGCCCCAGCAGAAAGCUAUCCCCCCCAGCCGGCCCCUGCCCCCAGUGAUGGUAGUGAGCCAGCCACAGCCCCUGUCGCCGAUGGAGACCUCCCUAGCCAGUUUACCCGUGUGAUGGGCAAAGUGUGCACCCAGCUGCUGGUGUCCCGGCCAGAUGAGGAAAACAUUACCAGUUACCUCCAGCUCAUCGAAAAGUGCCUGACACAUGAGGCUUUCACCGAGACACAGAAGAAGCGCUUGCUGUCCUGGAAGCAGCAAGUCCUGAAGCUGCUCCGAACGUUUCCCCGAAAAGCUGCCCUAGAAAUGCAGAGCUAUCGGCAGCAGCAGAAGGGCUGGGCUUUUGGCUCCAACUCUCUCCCCAUAGCUGGUUCUGUGGGGAUGGGAGUGACCCGGCGGGCCCAGAGGCAAUUCCAGAUGCCCCCUCGGGCCCUACCACCUAGCCGAAUGGGCAUCCUGAGCCCUGCGGGCAUUGGAGGCGUUUCACCUCGACAUGCCCUCACCAGCCCUAGUCUUGGGGGGCAAGGACGACAGAAUCUGUGGUUCGCCAACCCUGGAGGCAGUAACAGCAUGCCCAGCCAGAGCCGGAGCUCCGUGCAGCGCACUCACUCCCUCCCUGUGCAUUCCUCCCCCCAGGCUCUCCUCAUGUUCCCGCCAGAUUGCCAGGUCCCAGGCCCAGACCUGGAGAUCAACCCUACGCUGGAGUCUCUAUGCCUCAGCAUGACGGAGCACGCCUUGGGUGGCCCCACGGGGGAUCUCUGCUGA